rnacentral:rRNA from 1 species
GAUGAACGCUGGCGGCGUGCCUAAUACAUGCAAGUCGAGCGAACAGACGAGGAGCUUGCUCCUCUGACGUUAGCGGCGGACGGGUGAGUAACACGUGGAUAACCUACCUAUAAGACUGGGAUAACUUCGGGAAACCGGAGCUAAUACCGGAUAAUAUAUUGAACCGCAUGGUUCAAUAGUGAAAGACGGCUUUGCCGUCACUUAUAGAUGGAUCCGCGCCGCAUUAGCUAGUUGGUAGGGUAACGGCUUACCAAGGCAGCGAUGCGUAGCCGACCUGAGAGGGUGAUCGGCCACACUGGAACUGAGACACGGUCCAGACUCCUGCGGGAGGCAGCAGUAGGGAAUCUUCCGCAAUGGGCGAAAGCCUGACGGAGCAACGCCGCGUGAGUGAUGAAGGUCUUCGGAUCGUAAAACUCUGUUAUUAGGGAAGAACAAAUGUGUAAGUAACUAUGCACGUCUUGACGGUACCUAAUCAGAAAGCCACGGCUAACUACGUG